UACAGAGGGUGCGAGCGUUAAUCGGAAUUACUGGGCGUAAAGCGCACGUAGGUGGCGACGUAAGUCGGGUGUGAAAGCCCCGGGCUCAACCUGGGAAUUGCAUUCGAGACUGCAUUGCUGGAGUACGGAAGAGGAAGGCGGAAUUCCCGGUGUAGCGGUGAAAUGCGUAGAUAUCGGGAGGAACAUCGAUGGCGAAGGCAGGUCUCUGGGCCAUAACUGACGCUGAGAAGCGAAAGCAUGGGGAGCGAACAGG
rnacentral:rRNA from 1 species